AUUGAACGCUGGCGGCAGGCCUAACACAUGCAAGUCGAGCGAGCGGCGGACGGGUGAGUAAUGUCUGGGAAUUGCCCAGUCGAGGGGGAUAACAGUUGGAAACGACUGCUAAUACCGCAUACGCUUGGAUUGCCUAGGUGGGAUUAGCUAGUUGGUGAGGUAAUGUCUCACCAGUGCGACGAUCCCUAGCUGGUCUGAGAGGAUGAUCAGCCACACUGUAACUGAGACACGGUCCAGUGUCCGACGGUAGGAAGCAGUGGGGAAUAUUGAACAAGGGGGGAAGCCCUUAGGCAGCCAUGCCGCGUGUGUGAAGAAGGCCGUAGGGUUGUAUAGCACUUUCAGCGAAGAGUAGUAACUCGCAGAAGAAGCAGCGAAUAACUCCGGGCAAGCAGCCGCGGUAAUAC
rnacentral:rRNA from 1 species